ACCACUUAAGGCCACAAGAGAGAUGUAUUAUUACUCUCUUUCCAAACCUAAAAGAUCCUGAAGGGAAGACAGGCUAUGAACAAUACUAUGAUGCACAGAGAGGCACAGGUUUUAUUAUGAAUCGCCUAAAGACAGAGAAACACUAGUUGUAAAAUGCCCUCUCGAUCAAAUGAGAAAACUUGUGGUCCUAGAAUGGAGGAAAAAAUCUGCCUUACAGAUCAGCUAACAGGCGAUGAUUGCCAGGAAGCGAUCUCACUCCUUAAACACAGCACUGAUCGUGAUCUCAUCUUCUGGAAGAUGAAAGAAACUUUUCAGUACCGUCAAGAGAUUGUAAAGGACCCGAAGAAGUCCACAUCCAUCUUUCACAUUUUUCCUUGAUUCCUGGACACCAAGGGUCUGAUCAUCAACAUUGUGUUCUCACCGUCAGUCACAGAGGGUAUGACUGUGUUUUUGAAACACCUCGUUAAAGACCAUCAUCAGCUGUUUAAGGAGCUGUACCCAUCCAAAAACUUAAUACCUAAACAUCAUUUUAUGUUACACUAUCCUCGCUGUAU